AACAGCCCGUAUCACCCCUCGAGAACAUCCUCGCCUACCCCAUGCUGGCUAAUAUGGCGGGAAGGAGCGCUCAGGAGCGUACGAGGCCGCGCCUGCGCCCCCAUGGUCACUACGACACCGGGAAAUGGAGUGUGGAGCAAAGUGAGAACAAUUAUCGAACAGUCAUCGAGGGAUAUCAAGAAACACAUAUUGGGAUCGUUGAGAGACCCUAAUCAUCUUCGACUGCUGAGAACACGUAUCUAUUGUGACCAAAGACUAAUUUUUUUUCAUAAUAUUACGAAAGAAUUCCUUGUACUAUGUGAUGCAAAAUUGAACAGAGUCUUGGAGAAUCUUGUGCAGAGCAGAUUUCCUGCUAAUCUGAGAACCUGUUUCUCACCAGUAUCUCCUUUCGUCUUGCAGCUCGCCUGAUCCAACCUAGACUCUAUCAGCUCUUCUUCAUCAUCCAGAACUAUCAAUACUCCUUUGUGCUUGGUCCUUUCUCCUCCUCUUCAUUUCUCACGAUUUACAACCAUGUUCCUUCUUCCAUCUUUCAUACUCGCCUCAGAGAACAGAUCCUCGUCAUCGAUCUUCCCAUUAUUUUUACUUCGACCCAUUUUACCCUGCUUCGAGGAUAUUCAUUUAUCCGGCUUUUAUUUCGCGAUGCAGCCCGUUCUUCUCUAAUUGCAUCCAACUCGCCGCGUCUCUUGACAUCUUUCUACCAUUCCCAACAAUUCGUUUUAUCCACCAGACACGCACACAGAACGGUUGUACGGUUCCCGAUCCCCUGUGUGCUUCUUCCUUUAUGUAAGCCAUAAACGCUUUUCUCUGUCUGCAUUGCUAUUCUUUCCAACUUUCCCCACCGCAAAUCCUGCCUCUUCUCUGGCUGUAAGUUGCUUAUUCCUUCAACUGCUGAUUAGUUGCAGCGCUGUUUGACUUUACACAGAAAUGGUCCAAUCCUAGUUUCUCUGUCUGCCAACUUAACGACACACAAACGUUAUUAUUUGAAUGUUGCCGUGGAUCCUUUGUCUCUGGUGUUAUUUGUAAUCUGCUUGUUUAAUUAGGGGAAUUUAUAAUGUCACAAGUUAGGCAGGUCGUUAUUUUAGGAUCUUAGUCCAAAGCCGAAAAAUUUUAUUAUAGCGAUAUAAUGGUUUUGAUAUAGUAAUCUUUGCUAUGGUAAUCUGUAAAAUGGAACACAAUUAAGGUAAUCCUGGUAUCUUUAUAGUUUUUAAAAAUUUGGUUGAUAAAUUUGUAAGUCAGGUUCUUUCUUCAUUUAAUUUCUGUAACAGCUGGGAAUAAAAGAUGAUUUAUAAAAAACAUAUUGUCAUAUGUUCAUUCAUACCCUUUGCUACAACUUCUUUUCGUUUCAUCAUCUUAUCAUGUGCAGAAUCUUGGCUCUUUCUACCUUGGUUCCGCUCAUAAUUUUCCAUCUCCUUCGUCCAACCAGCUCUAAUCUUCGAUUUCUCCACCUAACCAACCCUAAUUCUCACUGUCUUCAUCCUGUUUCUCCACGUAUUUAUCUCUCACGUGGCUUCUUGUCCCUCUACCUGGCUUCUCUUUCGUUCUUUCUCCAUCGAGCAACUCCUACAGGGUUCGACAACCCCCUCCACUAUAAAAUCUCGUCGUCUCUUGCCUCUGGCGAGGAGGUGCAAUGGCUCGUACGCGUCUGCACGUAGUAAUGUUACCCGUGACGGAGGUGCUGAUGGUGGUAACGGUGGUGUUAAUGGUGGCUGCGCUUCCAAGCUGCAGGAAGAAUGCCUGUAAUGGCGCUAGCGGACCUCACGUUAAUGUUUCGCUUCUCUGAUUGCAACCGAGUCCCUUCCACGAAUUCUGCAUUCAUUGGUAGGGUCUCGGUUAAUCGUCUAAGGUCCCAGGUUCUUGCUUCUUGCGACAGAUCUAUUUUGUUUUCUGUGGAAUUAUUUUGGAAUGGAAUUUGGAGGUUAGGUUUAGGAAAUUCGAGAAUACAUUUAUUUAUGGUAUUGAUGAUGUGUGCAGAAGUAAAGCCCUGUUGGAAGAUUUUUCUUCUAGUAGUAAAUUAUUUUGAAAGCACGACUACUGAUGCAUACUAAAAUAUAACCAUUUGUUAUCAGAGUAUACAGUAGAAAAUACUCGUUUAUCGUUAGAUAUACAAGAGAAUAUACUCAUAACGCUUACGUAUGGGUCCAUAGAUGCACGGUGGAAUAUACUCGUACAUCUUUAGAGCCAUAGUGGAAAGUACUCGUUUGUUAUCAGACACACAGUUGGAUAUAUUCGUAAAGUAUAAGCGUGAGCCUUGAAACACACAGUAGAAGACACUAUACGUCGUCAGACGCACAGUGGAACAUACGCGUGACGCAUAUGCGUGCGUCACUGGGUACAAACGUAUUAAUAAAGGAUAUUACAACCUCGAACUUUGCUCUUUUUUUAAUCUGUGAAUAUUAAACUAUGAAGUUAAGAAUAGAAUGUUAAUGAGGGAAUUUUAAAAAAUUCCUCUUCCAUAGAUUGCGAGUAGAUACUAGUGAGUUUCAGGAUAAUUAUUUGUAUGGAAAUAUGAAUAUUCACAUAUUUCAACAAAGUGUUUUCGAAAUCACGCGGAACUGGAUUUUGGGUCAGAUACAAAUCGAGGUCGAGCGAACACUCUGGAAAGCAAUUCUCUUCCAUAUACAAACUCUGGGAACCAAUUAUUUUCUCAUUAUCCUUGCUCCUGGCAGCCCGUGACGCAGCCAGAACAAAAAUGUCGUCGUUUCCUAAAAUAAAACGAUGAAAAUAAAACUUCUAUUAUACUUCAUUCAGAAAUUACUAUAUCUUCUCUUAUAUUUAUGGGAUCAGAGUCACCGAAGUUUAUUUAGAAAUUUGCGUCAUUAAAUUCGUAAAACAGAAUCAAUAAAUACCAAAAUUCAUUUAGAAAUCAUUGUACCAAAAGUUUCAUUCAGAAAUCACUAUAUCUUCCAUGAGAUCGCGUUCAACAACCUGGUGAAUUGUCUUAGAGGCAGCCAUUAAUUUUUUUCAGUUUGUACCGAACAAGCACCGUGUUUGGAAAAUAAAAUUUCCCCUUGUUUUCCAGCCGUCAUAAAAACCAACGUCUUUUUUUUCUUUUCGAACGAAAAUACAGGUCAUCAAGGUCUUUUAUUCUCUCCGUAUUAGGCAAAUUAUUUCACGAGGAAUUAAUUUGAAUGGGAGGUGGAGAAGGGAGGUUGGGCACUUUUUCUUCGGCGUGGCUGGUAUUAGAGCGUGGCGUUUCAUUGAGUUUCGAACGAAAUUGUUGGCGCAGGCGUGACGACCUUUGCACAGGAACGGCCGGAUUUUACGUGUCCUGAGCUGUGUGUCCACGCCUCCGCCUCGUGGAUCCUCGUUUUACCGUUGUUUCAGCGUUUUAACGCGAUUAACCGUGGUCCCGCUAUCGAGAACCCUGUUGGAUGGAUCGCUUCGCUGAUCGCGACUGAUUUUUUAAUCUUUCAUCGUCUCUUCAUUCUAUGUAACAAAUCAUGAAGCAACUAAGCUUAAUACUGCUUUUCGACCUAACUUAUACUGAUUUCUCUUCAUUUGGAUUAGGUUAGGUUAGGUUAGGUUUCGCAAGGGGUCUCGCUACAGAAGAAAAUUUGAAACUAGUAUCAUAUAUUACUGACAAAAGUAGAUGUGAGAAUUUAACGGACUCUUCAUUUACUUUACGUCUGAAUUAGGUUCAGUUUCGGUUAGAUUUAUCAAGGGGAUUCACCUUAAAGAACAAUUGAAAAUAGUGCCAUGGAAGAAUAGUUUAAUAGAUGUUUCACUUACUUCAGAUUUGGGAUAGAUCAAGUUCCGUAAAAGAAAAUCUUUCAAUACAGUGUCACUGUAAUAUUACUUACAAAAUCAUGCUUAAGAGUAGUCUACAAUUCACUCUCUUUAAGUUAGGUUAGGUUUCGUCUCGAAAGAAGAUCCUUUAAUAUUGUAUCAUAUAUCAUUAGUAAAAGCAUAUUAAAAUAUUCAAAAAUAAUAUGAAAAAUUCUUCAGCAAAUAUAAUCAAAACAUUAAUAAAUUUAAUAUGAUCGAGAAAAGUAAAAGAGAAAAAGCUGAAAGAGAAGAUUUAUAAAUCAUUUCGGUUUCGCUAAUCGUUCACAGGGCCAGCGCAGUUUUAACGCAGCGUGAAGCGUUAAAUGAAUUACUUUCAAAGCUUCAAGUGGCUAUUUCGUGGCUGACGGAGUGUGGAGAAGUGGGCAGCUCUGGGGUAGAGAGAGAAAGAGAUUCGAUGAAGGGUCGAAAAACGUGGAAGGAGGGCAGGGGGUUAGUCUAACGUCGAAACGUGUCCCGCUGGGCUGGAUUCAAGGCGGCCGAUUUACCGCGGUUCUGUUUCAAUUUGGCACCGCUCCAUUGGCUCUCUCUCGUUCAAAUCAACCCCAAUGGAGAAUAAAAUGAAACCAGAACAUCGAUACCAAAAAUUACUUGAAAACUCCUUGAUAUGAACGUCGAGUAAAUUCCGUGGAAGUGGGACUAGAACGAAAUAAGAAUUCUCGACGAGAAAAAGCUUCAUUGUAGCGAAGAAAAUCGCCGGAUUGCAAUGUAAAGCAGUGGUACUUCUUUCCCGGAAUGGCAAUCUAAUAUUUAAAUCUUCCUGGAAGUAAGGUAGCUCGAAUCGAACGCCCCGGGUGUUUCACGAGAAGAUUCGUGCGAAGUACAUUGUCGUGAAGGCUAAACCACAAUUCUACGUACGAUAUUUUUAACAGUUCCACGUUCUUCGCUUCACCGUUUCUUCCGUUAAGUAACCUAAGACGAAAAAAGGGAAAAUAUCAUUUUUUGAAGCUUCUCUUAACAUCUUUAAAACCUUUCUAAAAACAAAUUUAAAUUUCACACACUUUCUAAGCAUCCAUUAACGUGAAAUUAAUCAUAUCAAAUUAUGUGCCCACCUCAAAAUCAUUCAAAUUUUAUCACAGCUAUGUUUCACUAAAAAUGUUAUUUUAUUUUCAUUAUAUAUAAAAUAAUUGGAAUGGAUUUAGUAUAUUUUUCACCCUGUAUAUAUGUGUCAGUAUCUUUUUAAGGCUUAAAGAAAAAUAUAGGAAUCAAUUGUACCGUAUUCAUCAAAAGGAACAGGUCAAAAGCUUUUAAAAUAUUCAAUGGGCCAAUUAUCCCCGAAUAUCGACCAAUUAACGCAAGCAACUAUUAAAAAACCAUUAUGCGCUGAAAGGACGACGUGUUCAUUAAACACGAGCUACGUAGAAAUUUGUUACUCAUCGCGUGUCCCAGAUCGAUAGCGGCGCUAUUGAUGUCGAUAGUAGAUGAACGAGCCAU